rnacentral:rRNA from 1 species
UAAGGAAUAUUGGUCAAUGGACGCAAGUCUGAACCAGCCAUGCCGCGUGCAGGAUGACGGCCUUAUGGGUUGUAAACUGCUUUUGUCAGGGAAUAAACCCUUGUUUGCGAACAAGGCUGAAGGUACCUGAAGAAUAAGCAUCGGCUAACUCCGUGCCAGCAGCCGCGGUAAUACGGAGGAUGCAAGCGUUAUCCGGAUUCAUUGGGUUUAAAGGGUGCGCAGGCGGACUGAUAAGUCAGUGGUGAAAUCCUACGGCUCAACCGUGGCACUGCCAUUGAUACUGUCAGUCUUGAGUAUAGUUGAAGUGGGCGGAAUGUAGCAUGUAGCGGUGAAAUGCAUAGAUAUGCUACAGAACACCAAUAGCGAAGGCAGCUCACUAAGUUAUAACGGACGCUCAUGCACGAAAGCGUGGGGAUCAAACAGGAUUAGAUACCCUGGUAGUCCACGCUGUAAACGAUGAUCACUCGUUGUUGGCAAUACAUCGUCAGCGACUAAGCGAAAGUGAUAAGUGAUCCACCUGGGGAGUACGGUCGCAAGAUUG